UAGCUCAGCUGGCUAGAGCAGCUGAUUUGUAAUCAGCAGGUCGUGGGUUCGAGUCCCUC
rnacentral:tRNA from 1 species